AGGUUAUAGGGAUUUUUUUACAAGAAGGAAGAAAACAGUCUUCUCGUGGUUUUAUUUUCACGAUUUGCAUGAAAAAGUAGU